GACGAACGCUGGCGGCGUGCUUAACACAUGCAAGUCGAACGGAAAGUCCCUGCUUUUGUGGGGUGAUCGAGUGGCGAACGGGUGAGUAACACGUGAGUAACCUGCCCUUGACUUUGGGAACACCUCAGGAAACUGGGGCUAAUACCGGAUAGGAGCUCCUGCUGCAUGGUGGGGGUUGGAAAGUUUCGGCGGUGGGGGAUGGACUCGCGGCUUAUCAGCUUGGUGGUGGGGGAGUGGCUUACCAAGGCUUUGACGGGUAGCCGGCCGCGGAGGGUGACCGGGCACAUUGGGACUGUGAGACGGCCCAGACUCCUACGGGAGACAGCAGUGGGGAAUAUUGCACAAUGGGCGGAAAACUGAUGCAGCAACGCCGCGUGCGGGAUGACGCCCUUCUGGUUGUAAACCGCUUUCGCCUGUGACGAAGCGUGAGUGACGGUAAUUGGUAAAGAAGCACCGGCUAACUACGUG
rnacentral:rRNA from 1 species